AUCCUUUUGUAGUUCAUGAGCGUAGAUGAGUGGGUGUUCACGCACGUGUGUGAGAUGUGCCACCCUCAAACUGGCACAUUACCCAUCUGACC
ensembl:snoRNA